rnacentral:tRNA from 2 species
CGGGGCGUAGCGCAGCCUGGUAGCGCACUUCACUGGGGGUGAAGGGGUCGUGAGUUCGAAUCUCGCCGCCCCGACCA